CUCUCACAAAGGAUUGAUGCGGCAUCCUUUUUUGCCAUUAAGAGCAAAAAAGAUAUAGCGGAAAGCCUGGUCCCGA
rnacentral:sRNA from 1 species